rfam:Cellulophaga tyrosinoxydans strain DSM 21164 genome assembly, contig: LX62DRAFT_scaffold00006.6
ACUCAACGUUAAAUUGUUUGAAAAGGGUGAGUUUAAGUUGUAAAAGCAUGCCUGCUAGUACAGGAUCCUUGAGCAAUUUGUUAGCCCUAAACUUGUUUUUUUGGAGUUU